GGAGCGGACCGGGCGAUCGCGGCGGGGCGGCGUUUCUUCGGAGGCGACGUACCCGUCGAGGAAAGUCCGGGCUCCACAGGACAGGGUGGUGGGUAACGCCCACCGGGCGACGGCCCGCAACGCGGCGACGCGGUGUGGAUCGGAAGCCUCGGGCCAGUGCCACAGAAAGCAAACCGCCGAACGGCUUGCCUCCCUCGGGAGGCGGGUGCGUGGUAAGGGUGAAAGGGUGCGGUAAGAGCGCACCGGGCCGGCGGCGACGUCGGUCGCUUGGUCAACCCCACCUGGAGCAAGGCCGAACAGGACGGAGGAACGCCGAACCCGUCUCGGGAACCCCUCGGGGGACUCGUGACGAGCGAGGAACGAACGCGGCUCGGUCCGAACCGUUCGACGUCCGGGUGGGCCGCUCGAGGGUCGCGGCAACGCGAUUCGCAGAGAAAUGAUCGCCGCCCCCGUCGCCGCACGUCGGCGCCGGUGCGGUACAGGACCCGGCUUACAGGUCCGCCCCGGUU
rnacentral:RNase_P_RNA from 1 species